UCUGGAUGGAUCUCCCUGUUGUGAACAGUUCACUUAGGAUCAUUUCUGAUUUGAGCCUCUGGGGGAAGGGGUGUGGCCCCCUGAGCGACAGGUCGGCUCUGGGGCGCGGGCAGGGACAGGGACAUCUCAGAAGGACUGCCUGGAGAGCCCCUCUCCCCUCUCAUCCACACUCAGACCAGAGGGCCCUCUGCCUGCCCCGCCCCCGCAAUGGGCCCCUGCCUCCUGGGCUGUGUGGUCUUCUGUCUCCUGCAGGCAGGGGCGGUCCACGCUGGUGUCACUCAGGACCCCAGAUUCCAGGUCGUGAGGACAGGACAGAGGGUGACACUUAAUUGUACUCAGGAUCUGGGUCAUAACUAUAUGUACUGGUACCGACAAGACCCGGGACUCGGGCUGAGGCUGAUCCAUUACUCAACUGUGGCUUCCUCCACGGUGCAAGGAGAUGUGCCCGACGGGUACAGCGUCUCCAGACCAAGCACAGAGAACUUCCCUCUCACGCUGAAGUCUGCCAACCGCUCCCAGACAUCUGUGUACUUCUGCGCCAGCAGUGACUCCACGGCGCUGCACGACCACCUCCUCUCUGUGCAAAAAGACAGAUGAGCGCCCUGCAGCCUGAACACUGGGGAGCCCCUUGCAGGCUCCUAGCACCUGGAGCCUCGGAGCCCACAGACACACUGGCAGCAUAGCCAGUAGUUUUAGAUCUUUGCUGGCACAGACCUGACAACAGGGCCUCAUGGACAAGUGUCCACUUUCAUUCUCUGUCUUUUCACCGUAGCUCCCAUGUGAGCCUAAAGAUGCUAGCCAGCUCUGACUCCUAGUAUCAGUCUGAACAUGAGGCCUCCAGAGGGGAAGGGUGUUUGGAAGUCAGGUACAUCUACACCCUCUUGUCUCUCCCUGGGCACCACAUGCCUGUCGCUGUGGAAGUUUCUCCCCCAGGCUGGCCCCUGUGUAGUCUCUGCUCUUGUCCAACUUACCAGAUGUGUGGUCUUUCCUCUCUCACCUUCCGGGCCCUCGUUCCAUCCCUUCUCUACUUCAGCCUUGAUUCUCCUCCCUCAUCUGGGUCAAGUCCUAGCCCACUACUCAGGGAACCUUGUAAUGAUCCCUAAGUGGUCGUGUUUGAGUAGGCUCCCUGGGGUCCUCAAAGAGAAUAAAACCUCAAUUAAUUAUUAAUCAUCCAUAAUUCCUUUGUAGUCCCUCAGGAGAAGGAGAGGCAAACUGUGUGUGUAUGUAUUCUCCACCACUGCCUGUCUUUAGCAUCUAAAUAGCCUAGACCCUGAUGUUGGCAAAGACUGAAAGCAAAAGGAGAAGGGGGUGGCAGAGAAAGAGGUGGUUAGAUAGCAUCACCAACACAAAAGACAUGGAUUUGAGCAAACUCUGGGAGACAGUGAAGAAUAGGGGAGCUUGGUGCAUUGCAAUGCAUGGGGUCUCAAAGAGUUGGACUGGAGUUAGCAAUUGAACACCACCACCACCAACAAAAACUAACCCAAGUUUGUAGCAUUUCCCUCAUCACAAUCUUCUAAAAGCCAAAGUAUUAAAUAUUUCCUGCAUGAACACCUUUCUUUUCUCUUGAAAUACAAAAUCAUAAAUCAUCUAAGGAAGGCUGGUUUGUGAGUUUGUGUUUCUAA